AUACGGAGGAUGCGAGCGUUAUCCGGAUUUAUUGGGUUUAAAGGGUGCGUAGGCGGAAAGUUAAGUCAGCGGUGAAACGCAGGUGCUCAACACCUGACCUGCCGUUGAGACUGGUUUUCUGGAAUGCGGAUGCUGUGGGAGGAAUGUGUGGUGUAGCGGUGAAAUGCAUAGAUAUCACACAGAACACCGAUUGCGAAGGCAUCUCACAAAUCCGCUAUUGACGCUGAGGCACGAAGGUGCGGGGAUCGAACAGGAUUAGAUACCCUGGUAGUCCGCACAGUAAACGAUGAUGACUCACUGUCGGCGAUAGACAGUCGGUGGCCAAGCGAAAGCGAUAAGUCAUCCACCUGGGGAGUACGACCGCAAGGUUGAAACUUAAAGGAAUUGACGGGG
rnacentral:rRNA from 1 species